GACAGAGGGUGCAAACGUUGUUCGGAAUUACUGGGCGUAAAGCGUGUGUAGGCGGUCCGAUAAGUCGGGUGUGAAAGCCCUGGGCUCAACCCAGGAAGUGCACUCGAAACUGCCGGGCUAGAGUAUCGGAGAGGUUGGUGGAAUUCCCGGUGUAGAGGUGAAAUUCGUAGAUAUCGAGAGGAACACCGGCGGCGAAGGCGGCCAACUGGACGAAUACUGACGCUGAGACACGAAAGCGUGGGGAGCAAACAGG
rnacentral:rRNA from 1 species